rnacentral:rRNA from 1 species
AGCGAACGCUAGCGGCGGGCCUAACACAUGCAAGUCGAGCGCAUACCUUCGGGUAUGAGCGACGGACGGGUGAGUAACGCGUAGGUCAUCUACCCUUUGGUGGGGGGUAACCCAGGGAAACUUGGGCUAAUACCGCACGAGGUCUACGGAUCAAAGCCUUCGGGCGCCAGAGGAUGAGCCUGCGUCGCAUUACCUAGUUGGCGGGGUAACGGCCCACCAAGGGGACGAUGCGUAGCUGGUCUGAGAGGAUGAUCAGCCACACUGGGACUGAGACACGGCCCAGACUCCUACGGGAGGCAGCAGUGGGGAAUAUUGCGCAAUGGGGGAAACCCUGACGCAGCCACGCCGCGUGGGUGAUGAAGGCCUUCGGGUUGUAAAGCCCUGUCGGGAGGGACGGAAUUCUUGACGGUACCUCCAAAGAAAGACACCGGCUAACUCCGUGCCAGCAGCCGCGGUAAU